UAGAAUGAGUGUGGCCUGCAUUAGGUGU
rnacentral:sRNA from 1 species